rnacentral:rRNA from 1 species
GAUGAACGCUGGCGGCGUGCCUAAUACAUGCAAGUCGAGCGAACGGACGAGAAGCUUGCUUCUCUGAUGUUAGCGGCGGACGGGUGAGUAACACGUGGAUAACCUACCUAUAAGACUGGGAUAACUUCGGGAAACCGGAGCUAAUACUGGAUCAUAUUUUGAACCGCAUGGUUCAAAAGUGAAAGACGGUCUUGCUGUUACUUAUAGAUGGAUCCGCGCUGCAUUAGCUAGUUGGUAAGGUAACGGCUUACCAAGGCAACGAUGCAUAGCCGACCUGAGAGGGUGAUCAGCCACACUGGAACUGAGACACGGUCCAGACUCCUACGGGAGGCAGCAGUAGGGAAUCUUCCGCAAUGGGCGAAAGCCUGACGGAGCAACGCCGCGUGAGUGAUGAAGGUCUUCGGAUCGUAAAACUCUGUUAUUAGGGAAGAACAUAUGUGUAAGUAACUGUGCACAUCUUGACGGUACCUAAUCAGAAAGCCACGGCUAACUACGUG